GACGAACCGUGCGAACGUUGUUCGGAAUCACUGGGCUUAAAGGGCGCGUAGGCGGGUCAUCAAGUCCGGGGUGAAAUCUUUCGGCUUAACCGGAAAAUAGCCUUGGAUACUGGUGGUCUCGAGCGAGGUAGGGGCAGCUGGAACUUCCGGUGGAGCGGUGAAAUGCGUUGAUAUCGGAAGGAACGCCGGUGGCGAAAGCGAGCUGCUGGACCUUUCUGACGCUGAGGCGCGAAAGCCAGGGGAGCAAACGGG
rnacentral:rRNA from 1 species